GAUAGAGAAGAACUGAAGGGUUUUCGACCCUACUCAAAACCACUCACAACUCAGAACUUCACAAACCAUAUUGAAGAGACGGAAGAAUCGGCUGAGAAUCAGAUGGAAGAGGUGGAGAGGAAUGGAUUGGAUCAUCAACUCACUGCAAAUGAUAAUCAUACAAUCAACAUGCUUGGGGUUGCAGCAAAUUGGGAUGAUUCUAUGUGCGAUAGCAAUGGCGGCUUAUGAUCAGGAGAAACCGGAGCUUUGUAAGAACCUCAUCAAGACUAAAGAUGGAAUAGCGAGUUUAGCUCUUUUCCACUCGUUGGUUGGCAGCCAGGGCGAACUUCCACAAGCUUUUCACCGUUGUGCAGCAGUUAAAGGUGCUCUUUAUGUAGGGUUUUCUGACCCCUUGUCUUCCAAAUAGUAUGCUGUGCACAAAAGAGAUACCUUGUACAAGAACAUGUUUAUUAAGUGUUAUCUUACAUGUUCUUGUACCUUGUACAAACUACGAUGCAGGUGAACUGAGUUCAUGGAAAUGGAGCUGAGGAAGCUAGAAGACGUGGUCAGAUCAGUUCAUGACGAAAUGAUUCAUCUCCGUGAACGAUAUACAAUCCAUAGGAUUUAUUUUCCUAGGGAUAGAAUGAACUACUUUGUUUUGCUUUAGUUGUUUCAUUACAUUCUGAGACCCAUUUACUUUUGCGUGUUUCAGGGAGGAAGAAAUGCAAGGCAUCAAUCGAGCAAUCAAUUCUAAAAUGGCGUGGUUAGGUUUCUUGUCACUGUUGGUCUGCUUAUCAGUAGCAGGCUUGCAGGUAUGGCAUUUGAAGAACUUCUUUGAGAGGAAGAAGUUCCUGUAGUUUUGUCCCGAUUUGUUAGUUUUGUCCCCGGAGAAGGGUUUUUGACAAGAGAUAAUAGUUUUGACUGUAGAAUCCAAUCGUUUUUUAUAGUUCAAACGGAGGUUCCGUAGCCAUCAUUUUUCAUGUUCUUCAUAAUACAUUCGAGAACUUUGUAAAUGGCAUUACAUUUAGGAUGCUUCUUAUCUUGGACAACAAAUUCAUGCACUUCACAGUCAACCUCUAUGGAACUGCAACCAGGAUUCCUUCGUUGCUUGACCCGGUCUCUCGCUGCCAUCUUCUCAUCCCACAUCCCUGCGGCAGCAAAAGUAUUGGAUAUUGUCACACCAGUAAGGGAACAAUCCGCCGUGAGUGAUUGUAUUACUUGGCAACCUGCGCUUUCUGUCAAACGAGUACAAAUUGAUGGGUUCUGGUGCCUUCCUGACUUUGAGAGUUCAGUUUCAAUAUUGCAGGCUUUAUCAGGAGGAGGCAUCACCUCUUGCCCCACGCCAGACGGGAAUUUGGAUUACAGGAAUAUCUUAGAAUCAAGUGACAAGGUAUGUUUCUUCUAGAGUCUACUCAGCCAUUGAACAAUGCUUCCUUGGUUUUUGUAUUGUUGGUUCAACAUGUACAUAUUGUAGAAUAAUUAAGCUCCCUUCUUUGACAUGGAGUAUUUUGAUUAAGCCCUUGAUCCAGUCCCUCACAGCUUUUUGUUCUUUAGAUGUAUGUAAGCUUUUCUCCCUCUGUAUUAUAUUUGUUAUCAUGCUGAGAUGAAGUUAAUCAUUUACGUAUGUCUCUUUCCAGCUCUGUGUUCUGAACAGGUGUCUUCAAUUAGAGGUCUCCAGUUAGGUAGCGGUUUAUCUGUUUGCCCAUCAGGCAUGUAAGUUUUUACCUAUCCCUCUCCAUUAAGAUUUUAUAGUCAUUGCUAUGUAGUAGGGAAUUUAAGCUUGAAUUCCGUAGUGUUGCUACAUAGGUCCGUUUUGUAUCUUUCAACUUUAUGCGACAAUGUCAUCCUAGGAAAGAAGUCACUACAUGCAGCAAUGAAUUUUCUCGUUGCACCUCCUCUUUCUGAAAACCCUCAAGAUACCUCCUCCAUACAAAGUGAGAGCGUAGGAGAUGCCAAGCCCACUUUAUUGUGGAAGGCGACGUUCAUUCAAGAGCUGGGUAAGGUAAAGAUGUUGCCGCAGAGGUUUUCUUUUCUGUACUGUGUUCUGCAAUUUGCAUCUCAGCUUUUAAAAUAUGAUGAGUUCUGGUGCCUUGCCGCACGCCAGACUGGAAUUUGGAUUACAGGAAUAUCUUAGAAUCAAGUGAGAAGGCUUAGGGUGUGUAGAGAAGAUUAGUUACAGGUUUAGAAGUAUCAAUUAAUGGAAUUUCUUUAAUUUUUUUCCUGUAAAGAAUGCAAAUGUCUGUCUCGGAUCAUGAUUCUUUUCAAGUUUAAAAUUCAAUAUCAUCUAAAUUUCUUUCAGACUA